UACGUAGGGUGCAAGCGUUGUCCGGAAUUAUUGGGCGUAAAGAGCUCGUAGGCGGUCUGUUGCGUCCGCUGUGAAAACUCGGGGCUUAACCCCGAGCCUGCAGUGGAUACGGGCAGACUAGAGGUAGGUAGGGGAGAAUGGAAUUCCCGGUGUAGCGGUGAAAUGCGCAGAUAUCGGGAGGAACACCGGUGGCGAAGGCGGCUCACUGGACUGGUAUUGACGCUGAGGUGCGAAAGCGUGGGGAGCAAACAGG
rnacentral:rRNA from 1 species